CAGUUGAGUGAAUUUCCUGAGCUGCCAACAAGUGGCGACUGAGUUUUGCAGAGCAGCCAUGGUACAAGCCCCUGUUGUUUACAAACAGGAUCUGCCUGCCCCUUUCGUUAGAAAGGGUCCAUAUCACAACAGGGGCAUGUGCUUUUUCUUAGCAGUGCUCGGUCCUGCUGAGUCAGAGUCACCUUGUACGCAGCCAAGCACAAGCCAGUAAAACGGGCAUUAAUCAAGUUGUUCUGAGCCAUGCAAAAGAGCAGAGGUAAAUGCAGAUGUGAACUGCUUCGAGGCAGGAUAUUUUCAGAAGGUAAGACGUGGAUGGGCUGAAGCAGAGGAGAGCUACUGCAGGUAGAGAAGUGAAUGCAAUACGCAUACUAGAGAAACAGACUACUUCAUGUGUGGGGAGCUCCCAGCUGAGUUUAACGUCCUGCUGGAUCUGUGACACAAAGAUUAAGUCUGGCACCCUGACUGAGCAAGCAGGAAAUGCUUCUUUGUCCUGGCAAUUUGGGAUUCAGGGGAGGAGCCCUACUGUGCUGAGAGCACCCUGCCCCAAGCCAGUCCCAGCCUCUACUACAGGACCAGCACAGGUUACCUGAACAACUGGACUCAGCAGAGGUGGCAGCUGCUGUAAGCCUCCUGCAAGUAAGGACCACAGAGCCCCACAGAUGUGCAGAUGCAGUGAGAAGUUGAUCCUUACCAACAAGCAGAUCCUGUUUUUCCCUCCCUAAGUACCAGCUGGGCCACUUUGAUCAACACCUUUAACUGUCAGGCCUUUAUCUUCUAUGAACCAACAUGGAAAGCAAUCUUAAGAAUGUCCUUGUCAUUUCUUUUGGAUUUUUACUUCUAUUUACUGCUUACGGAGGGCUUCAGAGUCUGCAGAGCAGUCUCCACUCUGAAGAAGGUCUUGGUGUUGCCUCACUAAGUGUUAUCUAUGCAGCUCUCAUCCUCUCUUCCAUGUUUCUCCCUCCAAUCCUCAUUAAGAAGCUGGGCUGCAAGUGGACCAUUGCAGGCUCCAUGUGCUGCUACAUCGCAUACUCCUUGGGCAACUUCUAUGCCAGCUGGUACACGCUAAUCCCUACCUCCAUAAUCCUGGGAUUUGGGGGAGCCCCUCUCUGGUCUGCUAAAUGCACCUAUCUCACAAUAGCUGGCAAUUUGUACGCCCAAAAGGCAGGGAAAAUUGGAAGAGAUGUCAUCAAUCAAUAUUUUGGGCUCUUCUUUCUUAUAUUCCAGUCUUCUGGAGUCUGGGGAAAUCUUAUUUCAUCUUUGAUAUUUGGCCAAACUAUCACCACAGUAGUGGAAGUCUCAGCAGAAGACCUGAUGUGCUGUGGAGCAUAUGACUGCAUGACAAAUGCUACAGCUAACACCACUGCAUCGAGUGGGCCAACCAAGACCUUAAUCUAUAUCCUGUUGGGUGUCUACACUGGUAGUGGUGUGAUAGCGGUGUUGCUGAUUGCUCUAUUUCUGGAUCAAAUCAAAGCCAACCAAGCAGAGAGUGAGACAGAAAAGAUGCAGACACAAGCCUUUUGGUCCACAUUCCUAGCAACUUUCCAGCAUCUUAAAGAUAAGCGACAGUGUCUCCUAAUCCCUCUGACAAUGUACAGUGGGUUUGAACAGGCAUUCCUUGCUGGUGACUAUACAAAGUCAUAUGUGACCUGUGCCCUGGGGAUACAUUUUGUUGGUUAUGUGAUGAUGUCCUUUUCAGCUACAAAUUCGCUCUGCUCUCUCUUCUUCGGAAAGAUUUCCCAGUUUACUGGCAGAAAAGCCCUAUUUGCAUUAGCUGCAAUUACAAACCUUGCCUGUAUAAUAGCACUAUUGCUGUGGAAACCUCACCCAAACCAACUUGCUGUAUUCUUCAUAUUCUCUGCUCUUUGGGGCCUAGCUGAUGCCAUUUGGCAGACACAAACCAAUGCACUCUAUGGAGUUUUAUUUGAGAAACACAAAGAGGCAGCCUUCGCUAAUUAUCGACUCUGGGAGUCAUUGGGAUUUGUCAUCGCCUUUGGAUACAGCACCUUCUUUCAUGUUUACGUCAAACUGUACAUCGUAAUGGCUGUGCUGGUGGUGGCCAUAGCGACGUAUGGGACAGUUGAAUACCUGGAAGCAAAGGACUUGCCUGGAAAACCUACCACUGUGAAGGAGGAAAUAACAGGAUCUGUAGUCCAGCAAACACGUCUUUAAACCCAACAGGAUCAGAGCGGUAGAAACAGAAUUCUGGGCAGCUCAGCACAACUGAUUUCUUUAAGGGAGAUUCAAAGUGUUCAAUCAGAUUUUAGAAGAAUAUAAAGGAACUGUUUUCCUGAGCCUGGAGUGUCCCGGCCAGCAUGCAUUGUUGAUUAGGACAAUUACCAUACAGAGAAUGCACCUGUCCAGAAGUGUAGAUGUACCAGCGGGAGACGUAUGUGCACAUUUUGAAUUGAUUCAUAGAGAUGUCAUGAUUCAUAAGAUGCUGAAUUCAACUGCAUUUCAACUGGCAGAGUCAGAAAAGGGAGGGUUUUUUGGCCUGGCUCCAGUCCCACGGUUUCGGGGGCACGUCAAACCUAGAUGGGAACUGGUCCGGAGUUCUUCCUAAAGUCCUAACUUGUCCUGUGCACAUGGCUCAUGACUCAUGCAUCCCUGCAGAUAGCACCAGACCAUUCAUACCUGUUUCAAGUGGCAACAACGAAAUUCUCUAAG